rnacentral:ncRNA from 2 species
UACCCUGUAGAUCCGAAU